UACGUAGGGCGCAAGCGUUAUCCGGAAUUAUUGGGCGUAAAGAGCUCGUAGGCGGCUUGUCGCGUCGACUGUGAAAACUCGGGGCUCAACUCCGAGCUUGCAGUCGAUACGGGCAGGCUAGAGUUCGGUAGGGGGAGACUGGAAUUCCUGGUGUAGCGGUGAAAUGCGCAGAUAUCAGGAGGAACACCGGUGGCGAAGGCGGGUCUCUGGGCCGAUACUGACGCUGAGGAGCGAAAGCGUGGGGAGCGAACAGG
rnacentral:rRNA from 1 species